UAUAAAUUUCAUGACUUUGCUUCCAUUAUAAUCUAUAAAGCCUGUUUUUGGUUUUUUUUUUUUUGCUUUAAUUUAAAUGACCUGGUUUUGAAAUUGCUGACUACUGCUGUUUGGAGAUGCUUACAGAAGCUCCUGGGGAACUUCAGAGGAAGGCACAGAUUUCACCUAACUGCUGUGCUGAGCCAGCUGUAUCUUCUCACUCAAUUUAUAGCACAUAAUGUGACCCGCAUCUUAAAAGCUAAGCAAUGUAAGCUAAGAUCAUGUUCUUUCAUGUCUGCUUUACUCUGUCCUUUCUCACAUAGAACUCCACCUGCCUGUGUUCAAAAUUUGCAAACAGCAGUAUUUCAGCAUGCUACAUAAGUCUGAUAGAUCAUACAAACAAGGUUCUCAGUUUUAGUAAUGCCCAAUUUCUCUGGCAGUAUAAAAAAAAAAGUCUCAAAGAAGAUGGAAAUAUGUGUGGGGAGUAUGUUGCAAAUUUCCUGAGAGAUUUUUCUCAAUGGUGGCUUUUUCUCAGUGGCUACUAUAGGCUUAAGUGCUUUUGAGUAAAGUGUUUUAUUCAGUAUCAGGUUCCAUCUAGCCGUGAUUAGCAAGAGCUUUUCUGAAUGAUUCAGAUCCUGUCUGCAAUGUUCACCCUUUAGAGUCCCUGUCCUCAUAUAUGCAGUCAGAUUAUGCAGAAUUGAGACUCCUCAAAUUUAAAUCAAACACUGAAACAGUCUCUAAAUGGCCUUGCAUGAUCAACAAGAAGUUGACAUAAAUCCCUGUUGCCCCUUCCCUGCAGAGGAACUGAACAUCUGUAACUCAAGAAAGGCUUUUGGCAAUGCCUAGGGUAUCAGGGUUGCUGUGCCAAGACUGCUGUGACUGCUGCCUUUGUUUCCUUUUGGAAAGUUGUAGUUUAAUCAAAAUAGUAAUUUUUCUGCAGAUCAAUUACCGUCACAAAUAUACUGUUGACAGAUAUGUUUGUAGAAGUUUCCAAAAUCAAUGAAUUGAUUUGUUUGCAUUUUCUGGCUUACUUCUGACUUUCUCAUUUCCUUUUAUUUUGACAGCAUGCUAUGCCAUAUUUUCA
rnacentral:lncRNA from 1 species